AAGAAAUCAGAAAGCUAAGGGGGAGAACAGGAAGAAGAAGAGAGGAGAGGGAAGGAAGGAGAGAACGACGGCGGCUAACUGGCUAGGGAUCUGCCGUCGUCGUCGUCGAAUGCCAGUGAGAGAGAGAGAGCUCGAGGAAGAGAAAACGCAAUGGAGGAGAGAAGAAAGGGGUGCUCCGUCGCCGCUGAAGCUCCACCGCCGCUGCUAGGGCUUGUUGCCGUCGCCGUUCUGCCACCGCCAGGCUGAUGUACCGCCGCCGAGGAUCUCGAAUGGGAUGUCUCACCGCCGUUGUGCUCUGUCGCCGCGCUGCCAUCGACUGGAGCUCGUCGCUGAGUUGCUGCACCGUCUCCAAGCCGUUGCGUCGCCGCUCAUCUCUUCUUCACCGUCGCCGCUCAUCACCAUGGUCGUAUCCUCUGUCACCAGAUAUAAAAUCAGGACAUGGAAGUGGACAUAUUGAGCAGACUAAACCACCUAAAUCUUAUUUCCUUGAUUGGCUCCUGUGCAGAGAAACCAUUUUUCUGCUUCGCUUUAUUUUUAGUGUAAUGGAAACAAAGCUCAAUUGCUGUGAAGAAUGUGCCUCAAAUUAUGAAAAGAAAUCUCAAUUUCUCAGACCAGGCCACAAGAAAACGUUACCUUUAUGGCUUCAGCCUCAUACCACCGAAACAAAUCAUCAGAAGGAUGAAUUAACCAGUUGAAAAGGAAAUGGAAUAGGCUAUGCCAGUGUCUUCACCAAACCAAACAAGAAGCUCAGGAUUAUUGGAGCAACAACAAUAGUUGGAAUGCAAAGUCCUACACUUUUAACAAUAAUUCAUCAAGUUCUGUGUCUUUUACAGAUAAACCAACACCAAUACAUAACUCCAAUCUUGUACCUAGAUUCAGACGUCAAAAUUCUUGCACCAUUGAGUUCAAUUUCAGCGAUAAAAGGCAAGCAACAACAGAACCAGUCUUAGGUUCCAUGGAAUUAUUGGAAGGUAAAGAAGUAAUAAAGACUACUCUUGCUCUUGGGAAUGGUGGUUCUGGUUCAGGGAGCCUUGGAGCAAUGAUUUAAGUUUCUCCAAGUCAUUUCUAGGUCACAAGCUCAAGCUGUGUAAUUAGUCACUACCACUUGCAUUGAGUUAUGUGUUUCUUGGUUCACCGUCGCCGCUCAUUACCGCGCUCACCAAGUAAGAAUUCUGUGCCUCAUUUUCUUCUUCUCGCUCAUUCUCUCGCUCUCUCUCACUCACCCUCUCUGUGAAGUGUCGAAGAAACUGUGUGCUCUCUCCCGACCGCUUCUCUGCUCUGCUGUAAAGCAUCAAGGUUUCCGAUGAGUCAAAGCAUCGAUCCCUAACAAGCGAGGUAAGCACCCGAUGAUGAUGAUGGUUCUGUGAAAUUUGAGAGGUUUUGGGUUUAGAUUUUAGGGUUUUUAAUUGGAGGUUUUAGCUUCUGUAUUCUGCAUUGUUUAUUUGUGGACUGUCAGAUCAAACUAAAAUCACCAAUGUAAAUUUCACCAUGUGUCAGCUGAAUUAUUAUUCUUAUUUUUGUUAUUAUUGUUAUUGUUGAUUUUUUCUUGUUUAAAUUUCACUUUUAAAGAGAGCAGAGUAUUCUCAAGAGAGGAUUAUUCUUAUGCUUUUAAAUUGCUUUGUUGAUUGAAUCAAUAACUUGAAGUACCUGUGAAUUCUGAGAUUUGGGAACCCAAGCUUGAUUUGAGACAUAUGCAGUGAUUGCAGUCAAUUGAGUGUUCCAAUUUCUGCUGAAAUGGGAGAAUAUAUAUUGUAGAAUUUAGAUGGACACUUUCAUAUGGUAA